rnacentral:rRNA from 1 species
AGUCGACGGACUGGUCAAUUUAUUGGACAGUUGGUGGCGAAAGGGUUAGUAACGGGUAGGUAACGUACCCUGUGCUUUGGGAUAGCGUCAGUUGCUUCGGCAACUUUCCGAAAGGGGCGGUAAUACCAAAUAAUAUCAUUUGUCGAUAGGCAGAUGAUCAAAGAUUUAUCGGCAUAGGAGCGGCCUGCCUCCUAUCAGCUUGUUGGUGAGGUAACGGCUCACCAAGGCAGCGACGGGUAGCGGGACUGAGAGGUUGGCCCGCAACAUCGGGACUGAGACACUGCCCGGACCUCCACGGAGGGCUGCAGUAACGAAUAUUGUGCAAUGGGCGAAAGCCUGACACAGCGACGCCGCGUGUAGGAGGAAGUCCCUCGGGAUGUAAACUACUGUCAGGGGGAAGAAAGUGCGCUUCGGCGCAUUGAUCUAACCCAGAGGAAGUCACGGCUAACUUCGUGCCAGCAGCCGCGGUAAGACGAAGGUGGCAAGCGUUGUUCGGUAUCACUGGGCUUAAAGCGUGUGUAGGCGGAAAUGUAAGCGUUGCGUGAAAUCCCCCGGCUUAACCGGGGAACUGCGCAACGAACUACUUUUCUUGAGGCAAGUANGGGUGCAUGGAACUCUUGGUGGAGCGGUGNAAUGCGNANAUAUCANGAGGAACGCCAGUGGAGAAAUC